GGGAAUUUACACUACUUAAUCUUCUUAGUGUGUCAUUACAGUUUAAUCGAUCAAAAUGUGUCUAUGUUUGGGAAAAUGUGUUGUCCGGUACUUUUUAGUCAGCAUAAAUCUGAUAUUUUUUUUCAUAGGUGCAGCCAUCGCAAUCGCUGGAGGCAUCUUCCUCUACCAGCUGAGGACCAAUUCACCCCUGGACGUACAGGACUAUGAUCUAGGAAUUAUACUUGUCAUAGUUUUAGGAUGUGUCAUUGCAUUCAUCAGUGCCAUGGGCUGGUGCGGAGCCUGUGCCGAGAAGAAAGUGCUACUAUAUAUAUAUUCUGGUAUUGUGGUGGUACUUGCAGCUCUACAGGUGUAUACAGUGGUAAUAAUCCAAAGUGAAGAUGUUAUCUCCGAGGAUAAGAUUAUUCAUUCGCUAGAGAAAACCUUUAACGACACCAGUCAGCGAG